rnacentral:rRNA from 1 species
AACGAACGCUGGCGGCGUGCCUAACACAUGCAAGUCGAGCGCGAAAGUCCCCUCGGGGGCAAGUAGAGCGGCAGACGGGUGAGUAAUACAUAGGUAAUCUACCCUCGGGAUCGGGAUAACCCCGCGAAAGUGGAGCUAAUACCGGAUAAGACCACACAUCAUAAGUUGUGCGGUAAAAGGUGGCUUGUAUUUAUACUGGCUAUCACUUGAGGAUGAGCCUUUGGCCUAUCAGCUUGUUGGUAAGGUAAGAGCUUACCAAGGCUAUGACGGGUAGCUGGUCUGAGAGGACGACCAGCCACACUGGGACUGAGACACGGCCCAGACUCCUACGGGUGGCUG